rnacentral:rRNA from 1 species
UACGUAGGGUGCAGGCGUUAAUCGGAAUUACUGGGCGUAAAGCGUGCGCAGGCGGUUUCUUAAGUCAGAUGUGAAAGCCCCGGGCUUAACCUGGGAACUGCGUUUGAAACUGUGAGACUUGAGUGUGGCAGAGGGGGGUGGAAUUCCACGUGUAGCAGUGAAAUGCGUAGAUAUGUGGAGGAACACCGAUGGCGAAGGCAGCCCCCUGGGUUAACACUGACGCUCAUGCGCGAAAGCGUGGGGAGCAAACAGG